GACGAACGCUGGCGGCGUGCCUAAUACAUGCAAGUAGAACGCUGAAGAGAGGAGCUUGCUCUUCUUGGAUGAGUUGCGAACGGGUGAGUAACGCGUAGGUAACCUGCCUGGUAGCGGGGGAUAACUAUUGGAAACGAUAGCUAAUACCGCAUAAAAUGGAUUAUCGCAUGAUAAUCCAUUGAAAGGUGCAAAUGCAUCACUACCAGAUGGACCUGCGUUGUAUUAGCUAGUUGGUGGGGUAACGGCUCACCAAGGCGACGAUACAUAGCCGACCUGAGAGGGUGAUCGGCCACACUGGGACUGAGACACGGCCCAGACUCCUACGGGAGGCAGCAGUAGGGAAUCUUCGGCAAUAGACGGAAGUCUGACCAAGCAACGCCGCGUGAGUGAAGAAGGUUUUCGGAUCGUAAAGCUCUGUUGUAAGAGAAGAACGAGUGUGAGAGUGGAAAGUUCACACUGUGACGGUAUCUUACCAGAAAGGGACGGCUAACUACGUG
rnacentral:rRNA from 1 species